rnacentral:rRNA from 1 species
GUAGGGCGGGACACGUGGUAUCCUGUCUGAAUAUGGGGGGACCAUCCUCCAAGGCUAAAUACUCCUGACUGACCGAUAGUGAACCAGUACCGUGAGGGAAAGGCGAAAAGAACCCCGGCGAGGGGAGUGAAAAAGAACCUGAAACCGUGUACGUACAAGCAGUGGGAGCACAGAGCAAUCUGUGUGACUGCGUACCUUUUGUAUAAUGGGUCAGCGACUUAUAUUCUGUAGCAAGGUUAACCGAAUAGGGGAGCCGAAGGGAAACCGAGUCUUAACUGGGCGUUAAGUUGCAGGGUAUAGACCCGAAACCCGGUGAUCUAGCCAUGGGCAGGUUGAAGGUUGGGUAACACUAACUGGAGGACCGAACCGACUAAUGUUGAAAAAUUAGCGGAUGACUUGUGGCUGGGGGUGAAAGGCCAAUCAAACCGGGAGAUAGCUGGUUCUCCCCGAAAGCUAUUUAGGUAGCGCCUCGUGAAUUCAUCUCCGGGGGUAGAGCACUGUUUCGGCAAGGGGGUCAUCCCGACUUACCAACCCGAUGCAAACUGCGAAUACCGGAGAAUGUUAUCACGGGAGACACACGGCGGGUGCUAACGUCCGUCGUGAAGAGGGAAACAACCCAGACCGCCAGCUAAGGUCCCAAAGUCAUGGUUAAGUGGGAAACGAUGUGGGAAGGCCCAGACAGCCAGGAUGUUGGCUUAGAAGCAGCCAUCAUUUAAAGAAAGCGUAAUAGCUCACUGGUCGAGUCGGCCUGCGCGGAAGAUGUAACGGGGCUAAACCAUGCACCGAAGCUGCGGCAGCGACGCUUAUGCGUUGUUGGGUAGGGGAGCGUUCUGUAAGCCUGCGAAGGUGUGCUGUGAGGCAUGCUGGAGGUAUCAGAAGUGCGAAUGCUGACAUAAGUAACGAUAAAGCGGGUGAAAAGCCCGCUCGCCGGAAGACCAAGGGUUCCUGUCCAACGUUAAUCGGGGCAGGGUGAGUCGACCCCUAAGGCGAGGCCGAAAGGCGUAGUCGAUGGGAAACAGGUUAAUAUUCCUGUACUUGGUGUUACUGCGAAGGGGGGACGGAGAAGGCUAUGUUGGCCGGGCGACGGUUGUCCCGGUUUAAGCGUGUAGGCUGGUUUUCCAGGCAAAUCCGGAAAAUCAAGGCUGAGGCGUGAUGACGAGGCACUACGGUGCUGAAGCAACAAAUGCCCUGCUUCCAGGAAAAGCCUCUAAGCAUCAGGUAACAUCAAAUCGUACCCCAAACCGACACAGGUGGUCAGGUAGAGAAUACCAAGGCGCUUGAGAGAACUCGGGUGAAGGAACUAGGCAAAAUGGUGCCGUAACUUCGGGAGAAGGCACGCUGAUAUGUAGGUGAAGCGACUUGCUCGUGGAGCUGAAAUCAGUCGAAGAUACCAGCUGGCUGCAACUGUUUAUUAAAAACACAGCACUGUGCAAACACGAAAGUGGACGUAUACGGUGUGACGCCUGCCCGGUGCCGGAAGGUUAAUUGAUGGGGUCAGCGCAAGCGAAGCUCUUGAUCGAAGCCCCGGUAAACGGCGGCCGUAACUAUAACGGUCCUAAGGUAGCGAAAUUCCUUGUCGGGUAAGUUCCGACCUGCACGAAUGGCGUAAUGAUGGCCAGGCUGUCUCCACCCGAGACUCAGUGAAAUUGAACUCGCUGUGAAGAUGCAGUGUACCCGCGGCAAGACGGAAAGACCCCGUGAACCUUUACUAUAGCUUGACACUGAACAUUGAGCCUUGAUGUGUAGGAUAGGUGGGAGGCUUUGAAGUGUGGACGCCAGUCUGCAUGGAGCCGACCUUGAAAUACCACCCUUUAAUGUUUGAUGUUCUAACGUGGACCCGUAAUCCGGGUUGCGGACAGUGUCUGGUGGGUAGUUUGACUGGGGCGGUCUCCUCCUAAAGAGUAACGGAGGAGCACGAAGGUUGGCUAAUCCUGGUCGGACAUCAGGAGGUUAGUGCAAUGGCAUAAGCCAGCUUGACUGCGAGCGUGACGGCGCGAGCAGGUGCGAAAGCAGGUCAUAGUGAUCCGGUGGUUCUGAAUGGAAGGGCCAUCGCUCAACGGAUAAAAGGUACUCCGGGGAUAACAGGCUGAUACCGCCCAAGAGUUCAUAUCGACGGCGGUGUUUGGCACCUCGAUGUCGGCUCAUCACAUCCUGGGGCUGAAGUAGGUCCCAAGGGUAUGGCUGUUCGCCAUUUAAAGUGGUACGCGAGCUGGGUUUAGAACGUCGUGAGACAGUUCGGUCCCUAUCUGCCGUGGGCGCUGGAGAACUGAGGGGGGCUGCUCCUAGUACGAGAGGACCGGAGUGGACGCAUCACUGGUGUUCGGGUUGUCAUGCCAAU